rnacentral:rRNA from 1 species
UACGUAGGGCGCAAGCGUUGUCCGGAAUUAUUGGGCGUAAAGAGCUCGUAGGCGGUUUGUCGCGUCUGCUGUGAAAACCUAAGGCUCAACCUUGGGCUUGCAGUGGGUACGGGCAGACUAGAGUGCGGUAGGGGUGACUGGAAUUCCUGGUGUAGCGGUGGAAUGCGCAGAUAUCAGGAGGAACACCGAUGGCGAAGGCAGGUCUCUGGGCCGAUACUGACGCUGAGGAGCGAAAGCGUGGGGAGCGAACAGG